AGAAGAUAGUGUUGUAAAUAUUUCACAUGCUCAUCAGAUCCACUUACCAAAGACACUUUACAACUGAGCUUGACAGUGAGAACUGCAGGAAAUAUUUAGGAGAUGGGCAGAUACAUAGCUGCAUCCCUAGUUUACCCUGGACUGUGUUAAGAGCACUUUCAAAGCAACUGAUUGAACUCGAGGUGUUCUGUUCCUUCAAACACGGAUGUAAACUAUUUUCCUGAGAUAAUUAGCUCUGAUAUUUCUCCUCCUAAGGAUAGCUUGAAAGCAUAGUCACGACUAUUUUCACCAGCAAUGAACAACAGCUGCCUGCAUGACCUGCUCAUAAAAAUUUGCACUGCUGAAGGUGAACUACUGUUUCACACCUGCUAU
ensembl:lncRNA